CAGCCGCCGCGGGAAUACGUAGGUGGCAAGCGUUGUCCGGAAUUAUUGGGCGUAAAGGGCUCGCAGGCGGUUUCUUAAGUCUGAUGUGAAAGCCCCCGGCUCAACCGGGGAAGGUCAUUGGAAACUGGGAAACCUGAGUGCAGAAGAGGAGAGCGGAAUUCCACGUGUAGCGGUGAAAUGCGUAGAGAUGUGGAGGAACACCAGUGGCGAAGGCGACUCUCUGGUCUGUAACUGACGCUGAGGAGCGAAAGCGUGGGGAGCGAACAGGAUUAGAGACCCCUGUAGUCCCUGUCUCUUAUAC
rnacentral:rRNA from 1 species